CCUACUCCGAAUUUCUUCAGUACCCAGCACAUUGACUGAUUAGUCUCUAUUCACUCAAAAGUUGUUCUUUACCGUAGAAAUUAUUAGCUAAAAAUCAGUAUCGUUCCAAAACUUGCCUUAUUUAUUCCAAGUGUCAUUCCAAUAGUUGCCUUAUCCUACCAGCCAUUGAAAUUCUUAAUGUUCCAGUCAAAGGAGACACGCGAUAUUUUUCCCACGUUUUUACAGCUGUCGUCAAUAAAGUCUGAAGACGUGCAGUUUUGUGACAAAAUAGGAUUACGAUGGAAGAAAGAAUUACUUCAGCUCCAAAAGGCAAAGCAAGAUGCCGUAAAAGUAAUCCUGCUUUAUGGAAGAAAACAAAGGAAAAAUAUAAAAGGCAUGGGCCAAUGGAACUACCACAAUGCAGUCAUAAUGGACCAACGUACAAACGCAGGAAAUUAAGGAUGUUAGGCAUUCAACAGUUCCAUAAGAACUUCUACAGCUCUCCCAAUAAAAUUGAGCAAGACACUUUUAUACUGAAAUAUCUGAGAGCAGAAAAACCUGAAAGAGACGCUCAAAAGAAGGUAGCAGUAGGAAGAGUGUUGCUAUUGAGUAUUUUCUUAAACUUGCUGAUACCGAUACAUUUAAAGUAAAAGUGCGUCAGAAAAAAUUCAUCACUAUUUUACAUGUGAGUAAAGAUAGAAUUCAGAGAACUGCCAGAAAUCACUACCAAACCGGUGAAAUGCCUAAAGAGAAAAGAGGUGGUGCUAGAGACAGGCCACAGUACGAUGCAAAGAGACCAUCUGUAAAGUCUUUUAUUGAACGUUUGAAGUGCUGUGGAAGUCACUAUUGUUGAGGAAAAUCGUUGCAAAGAAAAUAUCUUCCCGGAAACUUUAGCAUUGCAAAGUUACACUGCAUGUAUAAUGCAGAGGUUUGUCAUAUGAGAGUGAAGCGAUGGUUCUUUCACAACAGGUUACAACGUCGGUUUUGGUCCACCUGUAAAAGAUGCAUGUUCUACGUGCAUUGAAUUUAAGGGAAAAAUUGAGCACACGAAGGAUAAGUCGGAAAAGAAUUCGAUGAUUAUUCAGUUUAGCAUUCAUAAUUUAAAAGCUUAAACUUUUUACGCAAAGCUGCAAGAAAAAGGGAUGCUAUGCUAACAAUGUCAUUUGACUGUCAGAAAAAUUUGGUUAAACCUAAAAUACCGAAUCAAAUUGCCUACUACAGUCGUCAGAUAUACACCUAUAAUUUUACAGUUGUGAUGGGCCAUUCACAUACUGAAUGGACAGUACAAAAUGUUUUCACAUAUACAUGGAUGGAACACGAAUACAAAAAGGAAUCAAAUGAGAUACCCUCUGCAAUAUUUGACACUUUCUAAAUGUGAUUUAUCGAACUACUCAAGUUUGCAACUUCGUGCUGAUGGCUGCGGAGGACAGAAUAGAAACUCUACAGUGAUAAUGAUGUGCACCUAUUUUCUGUCAAAAGUGAGCCCCCCUCCCCCAAUGUGAAGCGUAUUGAACUGAUAUUUCCCAUUCCAGGACACUCCUUUCUGCCAACGGACAGAGUAUUUGGACAAAUAGAGGAGGACAUUAGGACCAGGCCAGUAAUUUGCAGCCCAAGAGUAUGAAGAUAUUUUUGCAUCGCAUGCUCAGGUUUCUAAAUUGGGUGUGGAUUGCACAGUGAGAGACUGGAAGAAGGCUGCUGACAAUAUGAUGAAAACACCAAGUAGCUAGCAUUUCAAAUUUUCUGCAGCAAAGCGGCUCUUCUCGUGUAAAACGUUUGAAGGAAACGUGACAGUACAAGGAGAACCGAAUUACAAUGUAGACUGUGGUUCAGGAAGGUCUGUGAUGAAGAAAGGUAAGUUUGAUGAAUAUGGAUGUUACACAAGUUGUGUCCUGAGGAGUGCCCUUGAACCCAGCCAAGAUUAAGGACGUAAAGCAUUUGCUACAAAAACAUUUUGGAUUGGAGUGGAAGGUGAAUAAAGAACUGGCUUUCUAUAAGAAUUAGUUAGCGUCCAAUAUUGGAGAAAGAAAUUACUACCCUGAAGAGACUAUCAAUGAAUAUUGUGAAAUCUUGAGAGGAUUUGACAGACUUAGCUAUUUGAAUUCUGCUCUAUGAAUAAUUAUGUAGAAUCAUUGUUUACUAUGAACUGUGUUUUUAAGUUCUAAUAAAUGAGUAUAAACUGAA